AGCAGGACUUUAGAGACCAUCAAAUUAAACUUCCUGUUUGAAGCCAUUUUAAAAACCACUAGAAACCAGGUCAUUACAUCUACAAGUGGAGUCAUAAUUAACAACAUAUUUGGUGAAUUGUUAUUAAUUUAUAAAUAUUGAAAUUAAAAUUGCUCUUAAAUGGGGCAAGGCCUUUUUAAUUGACAGGUGACUGUUGAAACCUUCGCUCUGGAACAGGGUGACUAGGUGUGGCACAACAACCGUCAAGCAUAUUUGUGAUUGUACACAAUGGCCAUCUAUUGUACUCAAUCUGCUUCAAAAGAAAAACUCACACAAAAGGGAUGACAAGUUUGUAACCCAAUGAGGUUUUUUUUUUAUUUGUAACAGAGUGGCAGAUUAGUGACAGGGCGGUGGCGUGGAGGAUCCGCCUCCUCUCGCCAACUCAGCCAAUGACAGAAACUCAGCCUUAAAAAAAUGCAAAUGUAUAAAAACAGGAAUGGGAACAGCAAACAUAGAGAAGUGUAGCCUUCACUUGGCUUCCCACACACACACAUACACACGCACACACACAUACAGGCUCGCUCUGUCAUGACCUUGACUCACACACACCUACAAAUUCACCCUCUUUCUCACACACGCUCAUUUUAUUUGGCUACGCAGGCUGAAAUGGGUACAAACGCACAACUUUGCUUUUGACAGUCACUUUAGAAAAGACAGUACGUGUUAUAAGAUCAUUCCUGCCUGUGAGACGACGGCGUCCGUCCGUCUGUCGUGCCGUAGACAGACAGGUAGACGAGCCAGACAGACAGUGAAAAGACACAGUCAGUGUGUGUGUGUGAUAGCCACUGUGAGGGACGAGCGGUCCCACAUUCAGCAGUGAACAGACGGAAAAGAAAAAACGUGCACACACACUUGGACAGACUAGUGCAGUGUACACAAGAGUCUGCUGUGAAAUACCAAGGUUGUGCGCACACGCAGACACACACACAGGUGGCAGGUUCGGAUGAGGCGCAGACACAUUCGCACUUGGAUGAGGCGGGAGAUCUAACGCACAGGAGCGGAGACGGCGUGUUACCCGUCUGGAAGAGCGUGAGAACUGCUGGAGAAGAUCAUUCUCUAAAACCACCAAACGACCGGCUGGUGGCGACCCGACGGGACCGCCUGCUCUGGCGUCGACCACGACCGCUCAGCAUCUUGACGGGUGGCGUCUGCUUUGAUAUGUGUUCAGAUGAUAUGAGCUAA
rnacentral:lncRNA from 1 species